CCUACGGGAGGCAACAGUGAGGAAUAUUGGUCAAUGGACGAGAGUCUGAACCAGCCAAGUAGCGUGAAGGAUGACUGCCCUAUGGGUUGUAAACUUCUUUUAUAAAGGAAUAAAACGAGGCACGUGUGCCUUUUUGCAUGUACUUUAUGAAUAAGGAUCGGCUAACUCCGUGCCAGCAGCCGCGGUAAUACGGAGGAUCCGAGCGUUAUCCGGAUUUAUUGGGUUUAAAGGGAGCGUAGAUGGGUUGUUAAGUCAGUUGUGAAAGUUUGCGGCUCAACCGUAAAAUUGCAAUUGAUACUGGCAGUCGUGAGUACAGUUGAGGUAGGCGGAAUGCGUGGUGUAGCGGUGAAAUGCUUAGAUAUCACGAAGAACCCCGAUUGCGAAGGCAGCUUACUAAACUGUGACUGACAUUGAGGCUCGAAAGUGUGGGUAUCAAACAGGAUUAGAUACCCUGGUAGUC
rnacentral:rRNA from 1 species